UGAGUCACGGUCCAGACACCUACGGGUGGCAGCAGUCGAGAAUCUUUCACAAUGGGGGCAACCCUGAUGGAGCGACGCCGCGUGGGGGAUGAAUGGCUUCGGCCCGUAAACCCCUGUCAUUUGUGAUCAAAGUUUUCCGGCGAAUAAUCGGAAAAUUGAUAGUAGCAGAAGAGGAAGGGACGGCUAACUCUGUGCCAGCAGCCGCGGUAAUACAGAGGUCCCAAGCGUUGUUCGGAUUUACUGGGCGUAAAGAGUGCGUAGGUGGCGGGGUAAGUUUGAUGUGAAAGCUCUGAGCUCAACUCAGAAACGGCAUUGAAUACUGCCUUGCUCGAGGAUUGGAGGGGGGACUGGAAUUCUCGGUGUAGCGGUGAAAUGCGUAGAUAUCGAGAGGAACACCAGUGGCGAAGGCGAGUCCCUGGACAACUCCUGACACUGAGGCACGAAAGCUAGGGGAGCAAACAGGAUUAGAUACCCUGGUAGUCCUAGCCGUAAACUGUGCACGUUUGCUGUGGGCGGAUUCGACCCCGUCCGUGGCGAAGCUAACGCGUUAAACGUGCCGCCUGGGGAGUACGGUCGCAAGAUUAAAACUCAAAGAAAUUGACGGGGGCCUGCACAAGCGGUGGAGUAUGUGGCUUAAUUCGAUUCAACGCGAAGAACCUUACCUGGCCUUGACAUGCAAGUGGUAGAAGCCUGAAAGGGUGACGACCCCGCAAGGGGAGCUUGCACAGGUGCUGCAUGGCUGUCGUCAGCUCGUGUCGUGAGAUGUUGGGUUAAGUCCCGCAACGAGCGCAACCCUUGUGUCCUGUUGCCAUUUCUGCGAGAGCGGAAAGCACUCUGGACAGACUGCCUCAUUUAAAUGAGGAGGAAGGUGGGGAUGACGUCAAGUCAGUAUGGCCCUUACGGCCAGGGCUGCACACGUACUACAAUGCCCGACACAGUGGGAAGCAAGACCGCAAGGUGGAGCAAAUCCCUCAAAUUCGGGCCCAGUUCAGAUUGUCGUCUGCAACUCGACGGCAUGAAGCCGGAAUCGCUAGUAAUGGCGCAUCAGCUACGGCGCCGUGAAUACGUUCCCAGGCCUUGUACACACCGCCCGUCACAUCAUGAAAGCCGGCUGUACCCGAAGUCGCCGGACCAACCCCGGUUCGCUGGGGGGGUAGGUGCCGAAGGUAUGACUGGUGAUUGGGAUGAAGUCGUAACAAGGUA
rnacentral:rRNA from 1 species